AUGAUGUCUCGUAAAGCUUCAGAUUUCUCAUAUACGGCAUUCAUAUGUAGCUCAAUAUGGUACAACAUCAUCACUGAUGCAGAGGAGUUGUGGUUGAUCGUGCCAAGCAAGGUGUGUAGUGGUAGGCUCGGUCUCCGGCCUUGGAGUCUUCUGUUGGCCCCAUUGUCAUGCGGCGGAGGCGGUGAUGUUUGGCAUCAGCUACAAAACAGCCAUGACAUGCGGUCAGGUACAGCCAAGCAUACUCUCUGUGGAGGUGCCGGCAAGCUUCUGAAUGCUGCCGCUAUAGACUACAAAUGCAAGAUGUAA
rnacentral:rRNA from 1 species